CCUACGGGGGGCAGCAGUGGGGAAUAUUGGACAAUGGGGGGAACCCUGAUCCAGCCAUGCCGCGUGUGUGAAGAAGGCCCUCGGGUUGUAAAGCACUUUCAGUGAGGAAGAACGCCUGGUGGUUAAUACCCAUCAGGAAAGACAUCACUCACAGAAGAAGCACCGGCUAACUCCGUGCCAGCAGCCGCGGUAAUACGGAGGGUGCGAACGUUAAUCGGAAUUACUGGGCGUAAAGCGCGCGUAGGUGGCUUGAUAAGCCGGUUGUGAAAGCCCCGGGCUCAACCUGGGAACGGCAUCCGGAACUGUCAAGCUAGAGUGCAGGAGAGGAAGGUAGAAUUCCCGGUGUAGCGGUGAAAUGCGUAGAGAUCGGGAGGAAUACCAGUGGCGAAGGCGGCCUUCUGGACUGACACUGACACUGAGGUGCGAAAGCGUGGGUAGCAAACAGGAUUAGAUACCCGAGUAGUC
rnacentral:rRNA from 1 species